rnacentral:lncRNA from 1 species
GAUGAGCUUAAUUGUAUGUGAUGAAAAGGUUCAAGUUUGGGAUUGCAUGGGGGAAAUUGAAAAGUUGUUAAGAAGCAUUGAGCUCAAAUGUUGAAAAAGAAAAAUGCAUAAGAAAAAGAAAAGAAAAGAAGAAAAAGCAUGAAGAUGAGCUCAAUGAAAAAGAAAAGGGAAAAAGUUGGAAUAAGUGAGAUUGGUGAGGAAGAGAGUUGUGCGUAAAUGUUAAAUACUAUGAUAUCUCUCUUAACUCAAGGAUUUUGCUUUUCGGAAAAACCAAUUUUUCUUGUUAACCCGACCUCAUUACAAGCCUUGGAAAAGUCCUUUUGAUGGCAUUUGCAUGUAAGGAUUUUGAUUGUUUGAGAUGAAUGGCAAUUUUAUUUCA